rnacentral:rRNA from 1 species
CAGUAGCCGCGGUAAUACGGAGGGGGCUAGCGUUGUUCGGAAUUACUGGGCGUAAAGCGCACGCAGGCGGCUCGAUAAAUUAGAAGUGAAAGCCUUGGGCUUAACCUGAGAAUUGCUUUUAAGACUGCCGGGCUAGAAUCCAGAAGAGGGUAGUGGAAUUCCGAGUGUAGAGGUGAAAUUCGUAGAUAUUCGGAAGAACACCAGUGGCGAAGGCGACUACCUGGUCUGGCAUUGACGCUCAUGUGCGAAAGCGUGGGGAGCAAACAGGAUUAGAUACCCCGGUAGUCCCUGUCUCUUAUAC